CCCCUGGUAGCUCAGUGGUAAAGAGUCGGUCUGCAAUGCAGGAGACCCAGGUUCAAUUCCUGGGUGGGGAA
rnacentral:tRNA from 1 species